rnacentral:rRNA from 1 species
UGUGCCAGCAGCCGCGGUGAUAAGAGGGGGAAAGCGUUAAUCGGAUUUACUGGGCGUAAAGCGCGCGUAGGUGGCCAAUUAAGUCAAAUGUGAAAUCCCCGAGCUUAACUUGGGAAUUGCAUUCGAUACUGGUUGGCUAGAGUAUGGGAGAGGAUGGUAGAAUUUCCAGGUGUAGCGGUGAAAUGCGUAGAGAUCUGGAGGAAUACCGAUGGCGAAGGCAGCCAUCUGGCCUAAUACUGACACUGAGGUGCGAAAGCAUGGGGAGCAAACAGGAUUAGAUACCCUGGUAGUCCAUGCCGUAAACGAUGUCUACUAGCCGUUGGGGCCUUUGAGGCUUUAGUGGCGCAGCUAACGCGAUAAGUAGACCGCCUGGGGAGUACGGUCGCAAGACUAAAACUCAAAUGAAUUGACGGGGGCCCGCACAAGCGGUGGAGCAUGUGGUUUAAUUCGAUGCAACGCGAAGAACCUUACCUGGUCUUGACAUAGUAAGAACUUUCCAGAGAUGGAUUGGUGCCUUCGGGAACUUACAUACAGGUGCUGCAUGGCUGUCGUCAGCUCGUGUCGUGAGAUGUUGGGUUAAGUCCCGCAACGAGCGCAACCCUUUUCCUUAUUUGCCAGCGGGUUAAGCCGGGAACUCUAAGGAUACUGCCAGUGACAAACUGGAGGAAAGCGGGGACGACAUCAAGUCAUCAUGGCCCUUACGACCAAGGCUACACACGUGCUACAAUGGUAGGUACAAAGGGCAGCUACACAGCGAUGUGAUGCGAAUCUCAAAAAGCCUAUCGUAGUCCAGAUUGGAGUCUGCAACUCGACUCCAUGAAGUAGGAAUCGCUAGUAAUCGCGGAUCAGAAUGCCGCGGUGAAUACGUUCCCGGGCCUUGUACACACCGCCCGUCACACCAUGGGAGUUGAUUGCACCAGAAGUGGGUAGCCUAACCUUUUAGGAUGGCGCUCACCACGGUGUGGUUGAUGACUGGGG